UCCCAUAUGGUGGUGCAGUGGUUAGCAUCCCAUGCUAGGUAUUUCAAGAUUUUACCCCGAGAAACCAAACCAUCCCAAGUGUUUGAAAACACUCCCUGGAGUCCCGGGUUCAGUUCCCGGUGGUGGGAA